UAAUAAGGUGUUUUAUGGCACUUUUUAAAUCCAUAUCCACCUUGUGUGCAAUGUCAGUCGAUCUUCUUCAUGGAGAUCGACCAAACAUCAACCUUUAUCUUUUAACUCUUUGUCUGAAAAAUAUUAUGAAUAAACAAUUCAAAAUA
rnacentral:misc_RNA from 1 species